rnacentral:rRNA from 1 species
GAUGAACGCUAGCGGCAGGCUUAAUACAUGCAAGUCGAGGGGUAGCAAGAUUGUAGCAAUACAAUUGUUGACGACCGGCAAACGGGUGCGGAACACGUACACAACCUUCCUACAAGUGGGGAAUAGCCCAGAGAAAUUUGGAUUAAUACCCCGUAACAUAGCGAUGUGGCAUCACAUUGCUAUUAUAGCUUCGGCGCUUGUUGAUGGGUGUGCGGCUGAUUAGAUAGUGGGCGGGGUAACGGCCAACCAAGUCUACGAUCAGUAGCUGAUGUGAGAGCAUGAUCAGCCACACGGGCACUGAGACACGGGCCCGACUCCUACGGGAGGCAGCAGUAAGGAAUAUUGGACAAUGGACGCAAGGCUGAUCAGCCAUGCCGCGUGAAGGAUUAAGGUCCUCUGGAUUGUAAACUUCUUUUAUAAGGGACGAAAAAAGGUCUUUCGAGAUCGUCCGACGGUACCUUAUGAAUAAGCACCGGCUAACUCCGUGCCAGCAGCCGCCGUAACAC